GUAACCAUGACAACAAGAAGAGCAAAGAAACCCUGUACUGUGAAUGUCUCCCAAAGGCCCAUGCAUUUAUGGCAAAUGGUAGAGCCCUUAAGAGUUGGGGCCUUGCCAGAAAGUCAGAUCACCAGGGAUAUACUUUUGAAGAGGAUGUUGGGAAUCCAAGGGCUUCCUUGCCUUCACCAGGCAAACAGGAUUCCUCUAUCAUUGCUACAAUGUUCAUCACUUGCCCCAAAACACAUGUCCAACUGACCAUGGGCUGAAGCCGCAUCCUCCCUAAAGUUAAUUGCCCUGGUAUUCUGUCACAGCAGCAAAAAGUCUUCUCGUUUUCCCAAGGGGACUGCUGUGGAGAGCUGAUGGAGGUGCCCUCAAGGGGCAGAGACAAGCUGAGGUAUCUGACGGUGAAAUGGGAUUGGACAUUAACUGACCUACAACCCAGCCCUUUGUGGCUGAUGUCUGCCCAACUCCCAGGAGCCUGAGAAGUAUGCUACAUCCCCAGGGUCUGCAGGCGCUGGCCAAUCAGUUUUCAGCAGUGGUUUAGCACCAUUUAACCAGCCACCUUGCUCUCUGCUCCAGGUAGAUGUGACUCUUACACUCUCCACAGACUUCUCAAGCUCUGACUCCUGGACAGAGGUCUUUCUUUGGGAAACUGCUGGGCUGGGUCUUCUUUCUGGACCUGAAUGAGCGUCUUCAGUCUGCAUGGUGGCAGAGCCCAGAGGGCACUGGCUUCAUUUACUUCUUCAUUUGCUCAGUCAACAAUG